rnacentral:rRNA from 1 species
AUUGAACGCUGGCGGCAUGCCUUACACAUGCAAGUCGAACGGUAACGCGGGGCAACCUGGCGACGAGUGGCGAACGGGUGAGUAAUGCAUCAGAACGUGCCCAGUAGUGGGGGAUAGCCCGGCGAAAGCCGGAUUAAUACCGCAUACGACCUACGGGUGAAAGCGGGGGACUCGCAAGAGCCUCGCGCUAUUGGAGCGGCCGAUGUCAGAUUAGGUAGUUGGUGGGGGUAAAAGCCUACCAAGCCGACGAUCUGUAGCUGGUCUGAGAGGACGACCAGCCACACUGGGACUGAGACACGGCCCAGACUCCUACGGGAGGCAGCAGUGGGGAAUUUUGGACAAUGGGCGCAAGCCUGAUCCAGCCAUGCCGCGUGCGGGAAGAAGGCC